GAUGAACGCUGGCGGCGUGCCUAAUACAUGCAAGUCGAGCGAACAGACGAGAGUGCUUGCACUCUCUGACGUUAGCGGCGGACGGGUGAGUAACACGUGGGUAACCUACCUAUAAGACUGGGAUAACUUCGGGAAACCGGAGCUAAUACCGGAUAAUAUUUAGCUUCGCAUGAAGCAAUAGUGAAAGACGGUUCUGCUGUCACUUAUAGAUGGACCCGCGGUGUAUUAGCUAGUUGGCGGGGUAACGGCUCACCAAGGCAACGAUACAUAGCCGACCUGAGAGGGUGAUCGGCCACACUAGGACUGAGACACGGCCCAGACUCCUACGGGAGGCAGCAGUAGGGAAUCUUCCGCAAUGGACGAAAGUCUGACGGAGCAAUGCCGCGUGAGUGAAGAAGGUUUUCGGAUCGUAAAACUCUGUUGUAAGGGAAGAACAAGUACGUUAGUAACUGAACGUACCUUGACGGUACCUUACCAGAAAGCCACGGCUAACUACGUG
rnacentral:rRNA from 1 species